CGUAGUGGUUAGCACUUUCGCCUUGCAGCGAGAAGGUCCCUGGUUCGCGUCCCGGCUUUCCCGGGAUCUUUCUGCAUGGAGUUUGCAUGUUCUCCCUGUGCAUGCGUGGGUUUUCUCCGGGUACUCCGGCUUCCUCCCACAGUCCAAAAAUAUGCUGAGGUUAAUUGAUUACUCUAAAUUGCCCGUAGGUGUGAAUGUGAGAGUGCUUGUUUGUCUAUAUAUGUAGCCCUGCGACAGACUGGCGACCUGUCCAGGGUGUCCCCUGCCUUCGCCCGAGUCAGCUGGGAUAGGCUCCAGCCCCCCCCGCGACCCUAGUGAGGAAUAAGCGGUGUAUAGAUAAUGGAUGGAUGGAUCUUUACUUGUGUUGUGAACUUUGGCAAGAAGCAGAAACUUUUGCGUUGCCAUGGAUACAUGAGUGUUAAAUUCUGUCCAUGUUUCCAUUUUGGGAAAUUCAGUCCAGUUCCAGAAUGUGGAGGAAUUUAGUCUCACAAUCACAGACAACAAAUAUUAUCUGAAAGUUGGGUUAUUGUUGUUUAUCAGCACAAUACAAAAAGAUUAAUGUUAGAAAUAUUCCAGUUAAGACUCUAGAAUAUCAGGAUUUAUGUAAAUUUACCUCAAUAAUAUGAAUGUUCAGGUUAAGAUUGUACAGUGAUAUUUAUUAUGCAAGUUUAGCUGAUUAAAGUUUAUGACUCUGCACUAAAAUAUUAUUAUUUACAUUUACAUCAUUAUAAUAUUUAGGGUCAGACCCUACAGUAUUGAGAUUAAGAAAUCAAAUAUUCUAUAAAAUGUAAAUACACUGAACUCAUUUAGAUAUAUUUAAGUGAGAAUCUACAAUAUUAUUUGACACAAAUCUAUCUAAAUCAAAAUUUUAAUCAUUUUUACUCCAAACAUUUACUGGACUGAUUUAAAUAUUAAAAUCACUCCUUUCUAAUCCUCUGCUGUACGUUCAAACCUGAGGCCUUAAAUAGAAACACACAAGUAUCUGAUUGAAGGAACUUCUGCAGAGUCCUGGUUCCAGAACAUGAUGAUAGAAUUAUAGACAAACUUUAACAAAAGCUGCCUGAGAGUUUACAGGUUUUUAUGUUGGAUUUCUUCAGUAAUUUAAUGAGCGUUAUCAGCAAAAAUCAAGUGUUCAUUUGAUGAACUUCAUUUCCUAAAACAUCCAGAAUUGGAGCUCAUAUCUUUGUCAGCUGUAAAGUUUCUGCUCCUUCAAAGUUCACAACACAAUGAAUGAAUUCCUAAAACACUCUCAAUGCUGGAGAGCGUUUGAUGCUGAAGCAGUGACCAGUUUUUCUGUUUCUUCUCUGGAGAUGCACAAUGAGGGACGUCUGCAGAGACUGAGAAAGAGUCUCACCACAUCCUGACAUGAGGAAAAAGACUUUAUUGAAGACUACAAUGAGAAAAACUAUCAGACAGCAGACAGCUGCAUUCAAGUUUAGGCUGUUAGAUUGUUCCAGACAAGACAAGUAAAAGAUUCUUCAGAGCCGUUAUACCAUGAGCCUGACAGGAAGAACUCCAACAGCUACUGAAUGUUCCUGUGGUUCCCUCAAGGCUACAGGAGGAGUCCUACGAGGACGAGCCGGUCCACCUGAUGGCGGCCAGUCGCUGCAGUUCAAAGCCAACACUGACUACGUGGACUUCUACUGGACCACACGGAGGCCUUCAAACCGGACCAACAAGUUCAUCGACUCCCCGACUCGUGGGUCUGAGGACGCCACCGAGCCUCGGUCCAGCCGGCUGCCUGUCUGUGGGUGUUUGAGUGCUGAGAGGUUUGUGGAUGCAUGUGAACGUUCUGUGUUGAAACAGCAGCUUUGGACUCAGUAACGCCAGGAAAAACCAAGAGGUCCUUUAUUUGUGACUUUAACUGAAAAAAAUGAUGAAAAUGUUUGCCAGGGUUCUGACUGAUAACAGAUUAUUAAAUAAUGAAAAUAAUCAUUUAAAUAUUUCUUUAAACAAUC